rnacentral:misc_RNA from 1 species
GGUCUUAAAAGUAUUAGCUGGCUCUUGAUUAUGAGUUUGGUUCUACUCGGCGUGAUAAUUAUCUGACCGCUGAGGACAUCUUUCGGGAUGGCCAGUCUUCUUUCUAUGAGCUGCUUCUAAUCUGGCUAAUGGAUUACUUGUGAUCUGUUCCACUUUUCAACUUUGACCUCGAAUCAGGCGGGACUACCCGCUGAACUUAA